rnacentral:rRNA from 1 species
GACAGAGGGUGCAAACGUUGCUCGGAAUUACUGGGCGUAAAGCGCGUGUAGGCGGUUCCGCAAGUCAGGUGUGAAAGCCCAGGGCUCAACCCUGGAAGUGCACUUGAUACGACGGAGCUUGAGUACUGAAGAGGAGAGCGGAAUUCCCGGUGUAGAGGUGAAAUUCGUAGAUAUCGGGAGGAACACCAGUGGCGAAGGCGGCUCUCUGGGCAGAUACUGACGCUGAGACGCGAAAGCAUGGGGAGCAAACAGG